GUGCAUGCUCUGGCAGCACAUAUACUAAAAUGGGAAUAAUACAGAGAAGAUUAGCAUGGCCUUUGUGCAAGGGUGGCAUGCAAAUUCAUGAAGAGUUCCAUAUUUUU